UUGUUGAUUUGCAUUUGAUAUUAUUAUGUCAUGCUGUUUUUGUAUACUACUGUGUUGCUGUUGUUAUUUAACUAAGCUGCAUGAGUCGGUCUAAGUUGAUUAAGAUGAUGAAGUUCCAAAUUAUUGGAUUAUACAAGAGUUGUCGAUUUAAGAUGUUUAAGAAGUCGAGUCCAUGCAUUAGCAUUCUUUGUUGGGGGCUUGAUGCUCUGGAGUAUAAUAAUACUUAAAUAGCGAUAGGGGCUUGAUGCUCUGGAGUAUAUUAAUACUUAAAUAGCGAUAGGGGCUUGAUGCUCCGUAUUGGUACCACAUGCAUAUAAGAUGUCUAAGUUGCAUAGUCGAGUUGGAGUCGCAUUUGUCGAGUCAAGGAUGUUUAUGUUGAUAAGUUGUGAAGUUGUAAUUGUUUAUACAAACUAUGAUGGAAGUGCUAAAUGAUAUAUUACUAUCUAUAAUGAAUAUUAAGAUGAUUUGAUGUUGAUUAAAUAUAAUUGUUGAAUUAUAUGCUUAAUAUUAUUGUUUUGUGAAAUCUCACCCAUUCUGCUUGGAAAUGUUGCUCUUCCUAUGAGUAACUUGCAGGUGAUCGUUAAUAGGUUGUUGUUGUUGCUGUCGUGAGUGACUUAUUCCUCACUGAGUCUUAGGAUGCUCUGAUACGUAACGGGAUGAGAUCUUUUGUGGCUAUUUUCUAUUCCUCUAUGUAUUGUGUAUAUUUUAAUAAGGCCUGCGUGCCAAAGACUUAUUUAUGUUAAUGAAUUUAAUCCGCUGCAAAGUUUGAAUUAAUAUGUUGAUGAUUUUUGGAAAGAUAAUUAGUUAAUUACCUCAUUUAUGAUUUUUAAGAAGUGUGAUAUCCC
rnacentral:lncRNA from 1 species